CCAGACGGCUGGAUGACCGCGCGUCGCUGCAAGCGACGGGAGGAAAGUCCGGGCUCCACGGAAAUAGGGUGCCGGGUAACGCCCGGCGGGGGCGACCCUAGGGAUAGUGCCACAGAAAGCAAACCGCCAUGUCCGCCUUCGGGCGCACACGGUAAGGGUGAAAGGGUGCGGUAAGAGCGCACCGCGCGACCGGCAACGGAAGCGGCACGGUAAACCCCACCCGGAGCAAAACCGAAUAGGAAGGGCAGGCCCCCUUGCGGGGUACAGCGCAUUUCCGCGCCGCUCUUCGGGUUGGUUGCGAGAGGUGAUCGGCAACGAUCAUCCCAGAGGAAUGGUCAUCCACGGGCCGCAAGGCCCCGGACAGAACCCGGCUUACAGGCCGUCUGGUAUU
rnacentral:RNase_P_RNA from 1 species